UUCUCAGAUAAAGAAGAUGAAGCUUCCAUCUGUCUCUGUCAAUUCUGCUUCUUUUCAAGGAGACGACAAAGACAUCUUGGCCAUCUAGGUGUGAAGGGCAUACGUAUGAUGAUUUCUCUUGUGGAAUCUAGGAUAUGGGAAGACAGACAUGCCACCAGAAAAAGCACUGGGGCAAGGUAGAACGAUGAAUUCAGGUCCUUUGGUCACAGCAAUGAAAGAGCUGACUAAGAAAGACAUAUCCUUUUGGAGGCACAGAUUUUAACACGUAACAGUAAUAAUAUGAUUUAUUGACUAAGUCAGAAAUAUUUCAGAGGAUUCUUAUGUGGCUGGAUGUUUCACAACAUAUUACAAGAAUAAAUUUAAGUCUCCAGUUCUUCACAAGAAACAUCUAUAAGACAAACAACCUUAUCUAUAUUGUCUCAGCAUUCACUAUUAUGCUAAAGGAAACAGGGAAUGGUACUCUCACCUAUGUAUUGCAUAUGAUUCUGCUUAAUUUGUAAGAAUAACCUUAUAUGGUUGUUAAUAUUAUUUCAAUUUAUAUAUAAGAAAAAGUGAGAGGCUGAAUAAGUCACUUAAGACAGUAAAACUAGAAUGUAUCAGGACUUGGGCUUUCAAGUUGCAAAGGCCUGUAUUUAAUUCUCUGUACUAACAUUGUAUAGUUGGUCAAAUUAUCUAGAUUUACAUAGAAGAGAAAUGAAAGUUUAAAUAAAUUACUCAAAGUACCAUAACUUGAAUGUAGCAGGGUGUGGAUCAAGACAUCCAGGUCUGUCAAGUUGCAAAGGUUCCUUCCUCUUUCCAUGGAACUAUUUUUGUUGAAAUAUUGAGGAGUGGUGAUGAGACUAACCUAAGCUGCAUAAUAUAGACUUGUCCUCCUGUUUAUCUGGGAUUUCUUCAUCUGACUUGUUUAAACAUGAAUAUAACUAAAAUGUUUCACAAAUUUAUAGUGAGUUCAUAUGUAGUAUUGGUAUAGCAAAGGGAUUUGCAAAGCUCUUCUGUAAAGGGUCAGUUAAAAAAUAUUUUAUGCUCUGCAGGCGACAGUUUCUAUUCAGUUCUGCCACUGUAGCAUGACAGGAGUCAUAGAUAAUAUGUAAUCAAAUGAACAAGUUGAAUUUCAAUAAUAUUUUUGUGUGAACACUGACAUAUGAAUUUUAUAUAAUGCUCGUGUAUCAUUAAUAUUAUCUUUUUCUUAUGAUUUUUAAAAACUAUUUAUAUACAUAAAUGUUUAGCUUGUAGGUCAUUCAAAAAUAAGCAGCAGACUGGAUUGGCCCAUGGGUGACAGUUUUUCAGACUCUAGCAUAGUGGGAAGAACACUGGGUUAUGCAGGCCCUUAAUCCCUGCAAUUUAGUCUAUACAUCACCAAAAGUAUGUACUAAAAUCAGUCGAAUUAGAAUAAAUGAAUAUAAGACUGAAAGAUCAGACAAUUGACUUACUGAAUUUAUAUUUUGUUGUUACAAUAUAUUUAUAUUAUUUAGA